rnacentral:lncRNA from 1 species
GAGUUUAUUCCCUGUUCUCUUGCCGGCAGGAUGUGGAAUUCGUGUUUGGCGUCCUAGGCAUCCCGGUGACCACGGACAUCCCCCUUGCAUCCCAGGAGCUGGACAUCAGGUAUGUCGGGAUGAGGAAUUAGCAAGUGGUAAGGACUCUGGUAACCGAAUGCAUUAUGGGAAUGAUAGAUAAUAGUAGCACCUGUUCAUUGCAAACACUCAGUGUUUACCAUUUCUCUAGUGCUUUCCAAAUGCAUGGUAGGCCAGUUCUCUCCCGCUGAGCUAUACCCUUACUUCUAACUUUUAGUCUUCCUAGUUGGGAGAACCUUCUGUUCUUUUAUCGAGAGAAGAUGAAGUGAUUGAUCUAUUAAUACGAGCUAUAUUUUACUGUUUUUCUGGAAGUGAGUUUACCUGCCACUGCUGUCUUCAUACAGAAAACAUUUAUUGAAUGUGUACUAUGUUUUGGAUACUGUGCUCCAUAACUGGUGGAAGAGAGAAAUAUAAAGAAGGAAUGAGGUGUAGUUUUGACCUUCAAUUUGAUCGAAUUCUGAGAAGAUAAAGGCAAGAUAUGCAGAAAAAAACAAGAUAUACUUAAAUAGGAAAUGUAGUAGUACAGAAUGGGUGACUGGUUCUCUUUGGGAUUUGCUUGACUAUGUGGACCAUAGUGCCGCUGACUGAGACUGGGAAAUAUACAGGGAAGAGCCAAUUUGGAAGGGAAAGGUUAUGAAUUCAAUUUGAAAUGUGAGUUUGAGAUGCAUGUGGGACAUCCAGCACAUAUGCCCAUUGGGCAACCAAGACUUAGUGCCUGAAUUAAAGGAAAUGACAGGAUGAUUCAGAAGGAAUAUGACAACAGGAUCAGAAGACAUUCAAGAGUAUGUUUGUGUUAAAGAGAAGGGUGUAGUUCGGUAUGAUUUGAUUGUCUUUCAUCAGAUUCUUGGAGUAAUCAAGACAUAAUGAUCAUAUUUGGCUAGCAAGUAGGCAGACUGUUGUAAAGUCAACUGUUACUGAGUUUACUGUGUUCAGACACUAUUCUGAGUGUUUUACAUGUAUUAACUGAUUUCGUCUUCACAACAAUGCUCUGAAUUAUGUUCACUUUAUAGAUGAGAAAGCCAAUGUACAAGUAAGUUGCCAAAAUUACACAGUAGAACCCCAUAAAGUGGCACACACCUAUAACCCCCAAGCUACUCUGGAGACUAAGGCAGGAGGCUUGCAAGUUUAAGGGCAGCCUUGGCAAUUUAGUGAUCCCCUGUCUCAAAAAGGAAAAGGUUGUAGCUCAGGGAUAAAGCACUCCUGGGUUCAAUCCCCAUUACCAAGAGAAAAAAAAGAGAGAAAGGUUUAAACACAAGUUAGGUAUGGUGGUACAUGCCUAUAAUCCAGCUACUUGGGAAAUGGAAGCAAAUGAUUGCCAUUGGAGGCCAUCCUAGGCAAUUUAGGAAUAUCCUGUCUCAAUUUUUUUUUUUAAAGCUGGUGAUGUAGCUCAGUGUAGAGCACUUGUCUGGCAUGCUUAAGACCCUGGGUUUCAUCUUCAGCAGCACAAAAAGAAAAGAAAGAGAAUAUUCAAGCAUAAAGAUGUACGGUGCAGUGCUCUUAAUACCAAAAAUUAUCCAGCAAUUGAGAAGAAUAUUUAAUUGUGGUAUAUGUGUAAAAAAAAUGUAGCCUUUAAAAAUUUUAAGAACUAUUGACAAAGUAAAACAUUUAUAAUAAGUAAAAGUAUAUGAGCCAGUAUUAUAUAAACUCAUUUAUAGAAAAAAAAUUUGCAUAUCAAAAAAGACUGUAUGAAAAGAGCCCGGGGCACUAAUAAUAGCUUACAAGUUGACAUUAUUAUGGGGUUAUUUUGGAGUUUUCUUUAUACUUUCACUAUUUUUUUCCACAUUAUCUAAAGUGAAGGUGUUAGAAACAUAAUAAACAAAUGAAAUAAAAUUUACAGUUUCUGUCCUAAGAGAAACACUACCUAUGUGGCGGCUCACAACCCUGUUUGCCCUAUGUGGUUUGGCCCCAUCCCUUUUGAUGUUUAAUGAGUUAUCUGCAAUUGCUAUUUUCUCCCCACCUACCAUAUUUAUUCUACUUAGUUCAUCUUGUACAUUAGCAUUUACACAGAGUAGGAUUUUUAUUACUUUAGUUUAAAAGAUCAGAUUUACCCUUUAAGCUAAUUUGUAAGCUUAAAGUAUAAAUAAGCUCCAAACUAUUUAGACUUCAGAGAUACUUGCAGAAUAAUUUAACUAAGAAAUACAAAUAUGCUUUUUUGUGUUAUAUCAGAUUUUUUUAAAUGGGCCUCUGCAAUUGGAGAGACUAAGUUGGAUUUUACAUUUGGGCUGCCUCCAACAUAACAGCCAUGUAUUAAGUUUACACAGAUACUCAGAAGAGAUUUCAAAUGAGAGCUAUUUGUGGUUCAUUGUUCUCCUUCUCAGCCAUUAUCAGCUCUGCUUUCUUCUUGGCUUUUUGUAAGGAACCUUUUCUAUUUUUACAAAAGUAGAUUUUAUAAAUUUUCUAACAUAAUUACUGGUACCAAAGUAAGCUGCCUUUUCAAACCUAGAAAAUGUAGUGUUACACUUCUGACCAGAAAACCUUUCAAAAUCAAGUUUCAAAUAGUUUGAAAAGCACAGUUUGCCUCUUCUUCAUGUUUAGAUAUAUUUAAGGUAGAGAAAAGAAUUUUAAGUAGGAUUAUAGAUUAAAAUGAAACAUUCAGCAUUCUCCUCUUUUUUUUGAGAGAGAGACAGAGAGAGAGAGAGAGAGAGAGAGAGAAUUUUUAAUAUUUAUUUUUUUUAGUUUUCGGCGGACACAACAUCUUUGUUUGUAUGUGGUGCUGAGGAUCAAACCUGGGCCGCUCGCAUGCCAGGGGAGCGUGCUACCGUUUGAGCCACAUCCCCAGCCCCAGCAUUCUCCUCUUGAUGACCAAGGUCUUGAACCUAAGACCUGUACCAUGCAUCACCUCUAGGGAAGCUAAAUUAUUCCUUUUUGCAAAAUCCAUUUUCAUUUAUCCAAGGCCAUCCAGAAAUGGAACUUAUGAGCAAAUGGAAUAAUCAUGCCAUAUUCUAAGAGUGGUUCUCAGAAUGUGGUCCCUAAGCUACCAGCAUCAGCAUCACCUAGGAAACUUGUUAGAAAUGCACAUUUCUGGACCCCAUUCCAGAAUUAAUGAAAUCAGAAACUAAGGUGGACUCCUGCAAUGUAUGGUUUAAUAAGCCCACUAGGUAGUACAAGCUCAAAUUUGAGAGCCCCUGCUCUAGGUAGGAAUCCUUAAUGAUGUAAUUCAGUAGAAUUUUUUCUUUCUUUCUUUUUUCUUCUUUUUUUUCUUUUUGGUAACAGGGAUUGAACUCAGGGGCACUUGACCACUGAGCCACAUCCCCAGCCCUGUUUUGUAUUUUAUUUAGAGACAGGUCUCACUGAGUUGCUAAGCACCUUGCUAAGUUGCUGAGUCUGGCUUUGAACUUGAGAUCCUCCUGCCUCAACUCCUGAGCCACUGGUAUUACAGGUGUACGCCACCAAACCUGGCUCAGUAGAGGUUAGAUUCAAAACUGUAAUUGAUCAGCUCAAAUGGGACAAUACCAGAAUUCCAUAGAGUAGAUUUUAAAAUGAGGGAAGAUGAUGAGGUUCUCUAUACUAUGAUACUUGAAUAGAUCUAAGGAUUUUUACUUUUUUUUUUUUUUGAAAGUACUAGGGAUUGAACCAGGGCCUGAAGCAUGCUAGGCCAGUACUCUACCACUGAGGAGCUACAUUCCCAGCCCUUUUUAUUUUACUUUACUUCACUUCUUGAGUAUCACAUCUUCUUUAUUAAAUUUUACAUAUAACACAGUCUAUUUAUUCAGCCUUUAUUGACUUCUUGGUGUUUUUUAGUUUGGUUUUUGAUUUUUUGGUGGUACUGGGGAUUGAACCCAAGACCUCAUACAUGCUAGACAAGUUCUCUUCCACUGAGUUAUGUUCUCAACUCCUUAAUUGACUUGUUAAAUAUUUUAAGAAUAAACAUGACUUGUUCUUCAGCUUUUUCUCCUUUUUAAGUUGACAUCUGUGCAGAAGAAUUGGAAAAUAAUGGUCUUCUUCUGGUGCUGUGACUUUGCUAGGAGACGUAGAUGCUGUUACUAAACAGGUAGGAACUUUUGCCUAGGUUUUUAGUUUGUGUGAACUGGUCUUUUAAGGAAUGGUUCUUGAAAUAUUAGUGUCUAUUUUAAACCAAAUUUGAAAAGGGAAACUAUUCUAAAAUAUAACUUUCGAACUUGGUCUUUUUAUACUUAGCUCGUAUUUCUGUAAAUUAAGCAUUUUUGGAAGGCAUUUGAAAAUUUAAAGUCAUUCAGAAUGCAAAUGGAUUUACUAAGUAGGAUACCACUGUCUGAAAAAUUAUAAUGCAACUUCCAAAAGGAGUUUUGGGUUACAGCCCAAAAAAUAGCUUUACAGGAUGGAAAUUUUUUUAGGUUUUUAUUUUAUUUUAUUUUUCUAAGUUAAUAAAGAGCUUUUACUCUCCC